rnacentral:rRNA from 1 species
CAGCCGCCACGGUAAUACGGAGGGGGCUAGCGUUGUUCGGAAUCACUGGGCGUAAAGCGCACGUAGGCGGCUUUGCAAGUCAGAGGUGUAAGCCUGGAGCUCAACUCCAGAAUCGCCUUUGAGACUGCAUCGCUUGAACACGGGAGAGGUGAGUGGAAUUCCGAGUGUAGCGGUGAAAUGCGUAGAUAUCGGAAGGAACACCUGUGGCGAAAGCGGCUCACCGGACAAUAACUGACGCUGAUGCACGAAAGCUAGGGGAGCAAACAGGAUUAGAUACCCCCGUAGUCCCUGUCUCUUAUAA